rnacentral:rRNA from 1 species
UGGGGAAUAUUGCACAAUGGGCGCAAGCCUGAUGCAGCCAUGCCGCGUGUAUGAAGAAGGCCUUCGGGUUGUAAAGUACUUUCAGCGAGGAGGAAGGCGGUAAGGUUAAUAACCUUAUCGAUUGACGUUACUCGCAGAAGAAGCACCGGCUAACUCCGUGCCAGCAGCCGCGGUAAUACGGAGGGUGCAAGCGUUAAUCGGAAUUACUGGGCGUAAAGCGCACGCAGGCGGUCUGUCAAGUCGGAUGUGAAAUCCCCGGGCUCAACCUGGGAACGGCAUUCGAAACUGGCAGGCUAGAGUCUGGUAGAGGGGGGUAGAAUUCCAGGUGUAGCGGUGAAAUGCGUAGAGAUCUGGAGGAAUACCGGUGGCGAAGGCGGCCCCCUGAACAAAGACUGACGCUCAGGUGCGAAAGCGUGGGGAGCAAACA